UUGAAAGGGAAACGAUUGAAGUCAGUCGUGCUGGCGCGAAAUCAACCUUCUCGUCUUGAGAUCACAUGGCGUGGCGAGCCUCAAAACCGUCACGAAGCGUGAACUCUUGGUGAAAUGGAGCACUUUCGUGUCCGCUGGUUAACAUCAAUUUCGAACGUCAUAAAAAGGCUGGAGGGAUGUGGCUCCUUCGGGAGUGUUAUAACCUUUAGCGGAAUGUGGUGUUCGGGAUUGAGGAUUGCAACGAAUACCUUUAGGGCUGUUCCACCUGGCUUCUCUUUGGUAUCCUGGUGACGACAGCUUGCUGACGUCGUUAGGAUUCGCCUUUGAACAGGUUAGAGAGUGAGCAAAUUCGUUAAGGAUGUUGACGUA
rnacentral:rRNA from 1 species